rnacentral:misc_RNA from 1 species
AGAAAUAGAAACUUUUCAUUUUGAGCGUCCUCCUGUGACGUAGUGAAAAUCGCCAUAGACGCCAUGACAAUUUUGAGAAACAUAUGGAGCAGUGGGUCUGAACAGAGAUGUGGAUAAAAGAAAGGAUAAAUAAAUGUUUUCAAAGGAUACAAAUUUUGAUUGGUCCCAUCAUCGUCUUUUAUUGUUUUUCUUCCAAACAUAUAUAAGAAAACCUUAGUUAUAAACUUAUAUAAUCAAUACAUAAUUAUGUACAACUCAAUGGUGUAUACAUGGAUAAAAAUAACAUUUUUUUUCAAGAUGAUAAGUUCGUUUGAUUAUGGUUAUUUUACAUGUACAUCUACAAAUCAAAAAACUCAAGAUUUUUUAAAAUAUGAUUUUACAUCCAAUGAACGAAAUAUUGAAUUGGAUCUUUAUGAACAAUUACCUAUAGAAAAAAUACGUGAAAAAGCAUAUAUGACAAAUAACUCAAAUUUCCAUCUCAAACCACAGUCCAGAACACGUCAUAAGUUCACUACGUUACCAUUUUUGGAUUCAAGCAUUAAUUUUGACUAUACUGAAUCAUUCCGUCCAUAUUAUUCGAAAAAAAAAUUCCAAAAGACAACAACACCAAUAUUAAUUAUUGGUCAGAGGAAUAAUAAUUCUUCAACUGCAAAUUAUAAAUCAAAAGCGAAACUUACAUUUACUCGAAAAUCACAAUUAACCUAUAAAAAAUUCAAAAAACUUCCUGAAAUAACAGCACCAAAAAUUGCAUCUAUAUUAGAGAAUAAAUAUAUCACUACACCGCUCACAGCGGUUACAUUCUUACCAACCACUCUUUUACAACCAAUAGAUCUGCAAGAGAAAUUGAAAAUUAUUUAUCAAAUGCAAAAUGGACAAGAAAGAGAAGAGACUCAUGAUGAGAAAGAUUUAGAUGAUUAUUAUUACUAUUACUACUAUGAUAUUGAUCAGCAUGACAUCACUUACUUAAAAACUACUAUUUCUACUAUUUCACAAUUCAUCCCAACAUCCAUAACCAAAUUGCCAAAUCAAAAAACUAUUUCAAAAGAAAUAACUUCAAAUAAGAACUUUACUAUAUUAAAUGAGAAUUAUUUUACAUUUAAGAACGAAGUAAAUAAUAAUAUCUGUCUAUCAGAAAAUGGCUUUUGUGAAGCAAGUGACAAGAACUAUCCUAUACAGACUGUAGAGCAAGUUAUGUUAUCCGAGGGUUCAACUUUUCGAACGAAAUAUCAAGAUUUUUUUUUAAAUAUUAGUAGGCAAUUACGUCAUCGUAAAAAGAUAUUCAUAGAUAAUGCUUGCAAUGUUCACGAAUCUAUUCUUGAACCGGGUUGGGCUAAAAACAUUGAAAAAGAUUGGCUCGUUGUGAUAAAUACUCAUAAAUAUCAUCAAAAAAUUAAAAUUACUCAUUGUUAUCAUCUCAGUACUAAUGUAUCUUGCACCAAAACAGACAGUGGUUCAUGUCUUCAAGAAUACACAAGAAAGAAACUCUUGGUAAUAGACCCUAAUAAUCUGGAAAAGGGGAUCUAUUUCUCCGAAUUUGAUGUCCCAGAAAAUUGUACUUGUCCAAGUAAAAAAAAAAAUAUGACGGAUCUAUUUAUACAAAGUGGUAAAGAUGUUUUAAUCGAAGAAGGUAUAAAAAAGAACAAUGUAAGUUUACUAAACAACAAAACUCUUCUAUACCCAUAUGAUAAGUAUGUGAGAGGAAAAUUCAAAACUGAACGUAAUACAACUCAAACACGACAAGAUUAUUUCGAAAAUUUAUCAUCCAAAAAAAUUAAUGACAUAAUGUUUUCAGGAAACUAUUUAAAGAAUUUCAGCCAAAGAUAUAUCAGUACCAAACCGUCAAUGCUAAAUCACACAGUUUUAAGUACACCGAUGACAGUAACAAUGACUAAUUUCAAACCAAAUAAUUUAGAAGAAAAAAAGAACAAUUUAAAAGUAUUAUCGGAAUUCAAUGACACAGCUCAAAAUAAGAGCAAUUUAAGCCAUAAAAGAUAUGGAGAUCAGACACAACUACACAGAUUACAAGAUAAAUAUAGAAGUCAAUUGUUAAAAGCUAAUAAUUUAAAUUUAUUUAAAAAUACUGAAACUAUCCAUAGUAUUAAAAAAUAUUAUGAAGAUGAAAUCAUUAGAACACAAAUAAAAUCAGCAAAAAACAGUCAUGAUAAAAAAACGAAGUAUAUUCCGUUUAAAAUAAAUAAAACGAAUUUAUCUUCUUUUCUAAAAAAUGAAAAUGAUCCUACAGAAAUACGAAGAAUUAUAGAUGUCUACAAGUCGAAUUUAGAGAGAAAAAGAGAGAGAAAGAAGGUAUAUGGCUUUAUUGAUGCAAAAAUAAACCUGUUAAAUUUUAACAAAAGUGAAGCUAACAUUAAUGAUUUUAAUGUAAGUCAUAUAGAAACAGACACUGCAACUGAUCAAGUAUUAAAAGAUAGAAGAAAGGAAAAAAUGGAAAUACACGACAGUAAAAUAUACAGGCAUAAGAAUGAGACGGACUUUAGAAUAUCCGAUUCAGAAUUCAACACUACCAAAGUAUUGUUUACAAUUCAAAAAAAAUAUGCCUAUAACACUAACAAUAAAUCAUUAUAUUCAAUGAAUAGAAAUUCCAAUAAAAAAAAGAUAACAAGAUUGCCUUUUGUACCAACAGCCAGUCUUCAUGCAAAUAUAGAGCAUGAAUUUAUAACACAGAUUAAUAAAAGUGCAGAAAAUGAUCUUAUUUUUAAUGACUCUGACUUUGAAAAUGAUCAAUUCUUUACAAAUAGUGGUUACUUAAAAUACGAAAAGGAUUUGAAUUUUAUUACGAGUAUUUUUGAAACUAAAGCUAGUGUCCCUGAAGAUAGUAUUAUGACAAUAAAACAGCCUAUAAGGCAUGCAAUAAAUGCUUUUGAAGAAUUGCAUUUGUCAUUCGGCGAAUUUUGAACAAAAUUAAAUGUGUUUUUAUAUAAUAAUGAUUCUUUAUCAUUCUUUUGAAUAAUUAACAGGUCUAAGCUGUUUACUUUAUUUAUAUCUUAAGUUUUAAAAAAAAUACAAAUCAAUAAAAUAUAAUUAAUGAAUGUCUAUACUUUAAUACAUCAUAUAAAUUUUUAAUAAUUAUUGCAUAUAAUUUGUUUUUAUAAUUUAAUUAUUGCCUUGGACAUAUUAAAAUAUAAAAUGGGGAUAAAAUAUAUAUAUUUUUUCUUAAAAUUACUAAUCUUAUUUGGAUAAUUGAAAUACGGUCAUCGUAUUAUAUAAUCUUUCUGGGACACAUCUCAUUGUAGAUUUCUUAGUUUACAAUUCUUGUAUCUUUUUUUCCGUAUACAAUUAUCUCCUUCUUUACAUAAUCAUCGAAAAUCUUUUAGUUUUCCAGUCGCCUAAAUUAGUUAUACUCUUAAUAUUUGACAACUUCUGUCUUUUUCAGGAUCCUAUGAUUUUUACUUGAAAUAAUAUCCUGUAUCCCAGACAGCAAAUAUAUCUAAUGUAAUCCGUAUUUAUCUUUUCUUCCAGGAUUAUAAGAUACCAUUGUUUUAUUAUUUUAGUUAUGAUGAAGUUAGUAAUAAUAACGGUAUUCCCAUAAAUCUUGUUUUGACCUGAGAUUUGAAUCUACUCCUAUUGAAUUUAUAAAUAUUAUAAUUAAUACUUUGUACUUUUCCAAAAUAUGCUAUUAUAUUUAUGUGUAGCCAUUUUUGAGCUCUAAAAUAUAGUUCUAGCUUUCUAAUUUCAAUUCAUUAAUAUUAUUAUUCUUUUAUUGAUUAACAAUUAUAAACUUUAAAAUUCAAAGUUGGCAAUUUUUUAAUGUUUUAUGAAUUACUUUAUCAUUUUAAAUAAUAAAUUUCUCAUAAGGGCAAAUUCGGAAGUUAAGAAUAUGAUUUUUUUUCCUCUUAAAUACCUUACAAAUGAAUAUUGGAUCUUUCAUUUUUUUUUCCUUAUUUACUAACCGCGUUGUAAAAAGGGUUUUUACCAGCGGAGGGGUAAAACCUUUAACUUAAUUUCCAGAAAUGUAACGAUGUGAGACGAAUUCUUUCAAAUAUUACGAAUAUAUUAACAUCUUAAUGUUUUUAAAGAAAGUUUACUGGUCAAUAUCCUAAAAAAUAUUAAUUUAGGAUUUAUUUCUUUGAUAUCCAUUUGUAACGUUGUCAUCUGCAUGAUUCUUAAUAAAAAUAAUCAAACAAAAAUUAAUCUAUUUCGAGUAUAUGGUUAAUGAGAGAAAAGGAUCUUAAGACUUUAUAGUCAAAGUCAAAGUUAAUUUUUCACUUAUUAAUGAUGUCAUUAGAACUAGAUUCCACACUAUCUGGAGAAUUAUCAAUAAUUAAAAAUAAUAUCAUCCCAAUUACCAAGGCCAUUACAACUUUAGUAGGGAGACUCCCUUUGUUUCUAAGCUUGAUUAUUGUAGAUCAUUUACAAACGCUAUGAAGCUAGAUACAUUCAAAACCAAACUGAUUACAUUUUUAGAAGAAAAUCCAGCGUACAAAGACUUGCAAGACCAAGCAAAUUCUGAGGAGACAAUUUACAGGAACCCACCUACUGUAAAGUAUAACUUUCAGAGGAUUUUCAGCAUAGUAAGUUUAUGACUAUCAGUAAAUAGUGUCAAGGACAUGCUAAUUAUGAAAGGGAAUGGUGAAAUAAUGGAUUCGUAAAUAACAAGUGCCUGAAUGGUUUCAUAAGGGAUCUUAUGUUCUAAUGAUGUACAAGUAGUUUUUAUAACAUCGGGUUCUCCAGCUAAAGACUUGGGAGUGGCAUAUUGCUAAAUAUUUAUAAUUUCCAAGAUAAGGUGUUAGAAAGCUACCUUAAUAUGGGCAAGAACAACUGACAGAGUAGGCUCCAAUACUUAGCUUCAAAUAGUGCGAAAUAGUCUAUCAUCAGUUUCUUUGGGUAUAUACAUAGGUAUGCUUCAUGGAUUCGAAUAUAUUAAUAUGUAUUUAUUUAAGAUAAGUAUUAAGUCGUUUUAAAUACUGAACACAUUAAUUUACUUUUCUUUUUUAGCUUUACAAAUAACAUACAUAACAAAGAAUGAUUCUACAACGAGUUUGAAGUAUGAUAGAAAGAAGAGAUAUUUAAUUUUACUCAUAAUUAGUAUAUGUAUUUCUAUUUAAAAAUGUCUCGUUAUAUUUUGUAUAUAUAUAAAUUAUACUUGUUGCUAAUAAUUCGUUGAAUCCAUUUGAAAUAUUUAUUAUUAAUAACUUGAAUUUUGUUUCAUUUGUCUUUAUUGCUUUGUUUGAAUAUCUGUGUAUAACUUCAAUUAAAAUUUGUAAUUAAUAUUUUUUGUAAUAGUUAUUCGUUGUUUUAGUUGUGUUUUUAAUUUUUAUUUUACCCAUACUCGUUUAACUUAAUGUCUUUAAUAUCCGUUACAAUGCUUUAAUUUAUAUAUUUAACAGUAAUCUACUGUUGCAAGUAAAGUGAUAAACAUAAGUUUUGGAUUACUCAUUGUAUAACAUAUUAUAUAAGCGACUUUAAUAAACUUUAUAUUUAUAAUAUAUAUAAUUAUGGAAGAUUUUUAUGAGUUUCACUAAUUAAAUCAAAUAUUCCUGAAUUUUAAAAUUUAAACUAUUUUUCAUAUUAACAAUCUUCAUUGCAGUUGAAUUACUUUGUAAUAGUAAAAUAAGAUCCUUAAUAAACAGUGAUAACAACGAA